rnacentral:rRNA from 1 species
UCUUUUCCUUUUUUUCCCGCCGCCGCGGUAAUACGUAGGUGGCAAGCGUUGUCCGGAAUUAUUGGGCGUAAAGGGCGCGCAGGCGGCGUCGUAAGUCGGUCUUAAAAGUGCGGGGCUUAACCCCGUGAGGGGACCGAAACUGCGAUGCUAGAGUAUCGGAGAGGAAAGCGGAAUUCCUAGUGUAGCGGUGAAAUGCGUAGAUAUUAGGAGGAACACCAGUGGCGAAAGCGGCUUUCUGGACGACAACUGACGCUGAGGCGCGAAAGCCAGGGGAGCAAACGGG